rnacentral:rRNA from 1 species
UACGUAGGGGGCAAGCGUUGUCCGGAAUCAUUGGGCGUAAAGAGCGUGUAGGCGGUUUAGUAAGUCUGCUGUGAAAGUCCAGGGCUCAACCCUGGGAUGCCGGUGGAUACUGCUGGGCUAGAGUACGGAAGAGGCGAGUGGAAUUCCCGGUGUAGCGGUGAAAUGCGGCAGAUAUCGGGAGGAACACCUAUUGCGAAGGCAGCUCGCUGGGACGUUACUGACGCUGAGACGCGAAAGCGUGGGGAGCAAACAGG